GAUCAUGGCUCAGGACGAACGGUGGCGGCGUGCCUAACACAUGCAAGUCGAACGGGGCUAGGAAAGCUUGCUUUCCGAAGCCUAGUGGCGGACGGGUGAGUAACGCGUGAGUAACCUGCCUUUCAGAGGGGAAUAACGUUCUGAAAAGAACGCUAAUACCGCAUAACGUACAGUUACCGCAUGGUAGCAGUACCAAAGGAGCAAUCCGCUGAAAGAUGGACUCGCGUCCGAUUAGCUAGUUGGUGGGGUAAAGG
rnacentral:rRNA from 1 species